rnacentral:snRNA from 1 species
GCCCUCUUCAGGAGCACAUAUAAUAAAGUUGGAAUGAUUCCAAAAAGAUUACCAUGGCCCUUGCGUGAAGAUAUGUGCAAGUUUGUGAAGAAUUCUGCAUUUUU